UGCUUUCGUGUCUACUAUCGUGAUCUGGCUGAGCGAUGCUACAGGCGACGGGGCACUCAACCUGAGCGUGUCGCAGCGGUCGGACAGAGACCGACGAACUGAGAGCAGAUCUCUUUUGGAAGAAGAGGAAGAGACGCAGUCCUACAGAUCCCGGACUUUAGAUCAUCUGAAAACUUUCAGAUCGCUGUUUUGUGCGCAUUGUUUCCAGAAGAUCCACUCUGUUACCGCUGCUGAAGCGAUGCAUUUUCUGUCUUGUUCAAGUUAUUUAUGUCGAUAUGUUCCUGUAGAUAUAUUACACAAGCGUGCGUUACUUAGUUUAUCAACACGCAUUCCAUGGCGUGUGAUUAUAUCUUGUCAAUUGGUUUUCUUGUUCAGACAACCUAAAAUCCAAGUUGCUAGGAUCGAAUGUAGACGAGAUAUCUUCUUUCAUCUUGAAUACCACGAAGCUUCAAGUUAUUUUUAAUCUAUUUUGGAGUCUAUAUCCUGAUGCGCUAUUUUCUUAAAAGUCGAUCCAGUGCACUUGGCAUCAUUGGACUCCUUCAAGCAUGCUCCUAUCAUCUAGAAGGACGCGAUUUUUGGACUAAAGAUCGCUGAUCUUAAGCCUUACCUUGUGUAUUUUAAACCAGUAAUAUUUUGCGAUAUCAGGUAUAUCUUCUAUAUUUUAGAAUGCGUGGCAUGGCUCAGUACAAAUACUAUAUCAACUUCAACGGCUGUGAUGAUGAUGUCAUCCUUAGACUGAAUACUUAGCUUCAUUCCAACUGCUCAUCGUCUCAGGCUCGCUCAACCUCACUGAUUGACGUCAUAUUUCAGAAUUAAAAGAAAAAUUUGCAGAGUAGAAAACUGCAUGCACAGUUGUACUCACAUUUGUAUCAAGGAGUUAAUUUCUAAUCAGGAAUAAUAAGUAGGCGUGAAAAUAAAUUUAAUCUGUUCUUCUUGAUCUGAAGUGGAAAUUUAUUGCCUAUUUGAAGUCGGAUAUGAUAAUGAAUGUCUAUCUCAGUUACAGGAUAUAAUAACCAAAGAAUAGCGUUCUGAAUGGGUUGAUGGUCAAUGUUGUAUUCGCCAUUCCGAUUCUCAUCAAGGAGUUAUAAAGUUCAUCAGUUGUGUUCAUCUUAGCAACAUAUUUAUUUAUAGUAGCUUUAUUUGUGAAUCCUGCGAAGACUUUUUUAAAUGAAAUGUUUGAUAAAAUUUUCACCUUAUCUGUUACAGUGUUCUCUAAUUCAUUAGAAUUUCCGUCGACAAUCCAGUCGUGUAGCGAUUGAAAGUAAGACGUUACUGUCUAGCUCACCGGCGCAUUGGAUCCAGUUAGUAGGCUUACUUGCCAAUGGAACACAGUCGGUGUUCUUAUUCUAAACUAUUUUUCCCGAAAACAAUAUGGACAAUAAUCCCCGAGUAAGAGGUUUUAGAUAUGCCUUUAGUUUGCAUAUUACUUCAAUCAUGGCUACGUGAUGGGUUUGUGAACAGACGUGUCUAAAGAAGUAAUGUUCAGACCCAGGAGUCUUCCGUUUCAAUUAUCUCCAUUGAUUUGACUUAUUACAACGAGCACCAUGCAAUUUAUUCAGGUGCAGUGGUUACGUCUGAUGAAAAUCAUCUCUUAAAGAAACCUAUUCACUGUU
rnacentral:lncRNA from 1 species